GGUGUUAUAGCUCAGUGGAACAGCAACUUCCUAGCAUGAACAAGGUCUUGGGUUCAACUCCCAAUACCG
rnacentral:tRNA from 1 species